UACAGAGGGUGCGAGCGUUAAUCGGAAUUACUGGGCGUAAAGCGCGCGUAGGCGGCUUUGCAAGUCGGGUGUGAAAUCCCCGGGCUUAACCUGGGAAUGGCAUUUGGGACUGCAAGGCUGGAGUGUGGCAGAGGAGACUGGAAUUCCUGGUGUAGCAGUGAAAUGCGUAGAUAUCAGGAGGAAUACCGAUGGCGAAGGCAGGUCUCUGGGCUGACACUGACGCUCAUGCACGAAAGCGUGGGGAGCAAACAGG
rnacentral:rRNA from 1 species